rnacentral:rRNA from 2 species
ACUGAUUAGAAGCUUGCUUCUAUGACGUUAGCGGCGGACGGGUGAGUAACACGUGGGCAACCUGCCUGUAAGACUGGGAUAACUUCGGGAAACCGAAGCUAAUACCGGAUAGGAUCUUCUCCUUCAUGGGAGAUGAUUGAAAGAUGGUUUCGGCUAUCACUUACAGAUGGGCCCGCGGUGCAUUAGCUAGUUGGUGAGGUAACGGCUCACCAAGGCAACGAUGCAUAGCCGACCUGAGAGGGUGAUCGGCCACACUGGGACUGAGACACGGCCCAGACUCCUACGGGAGGCAGCAGUAGGGAAUCUUCCGCAAUGGACGAAAGUCUGACGGAGCAACGCCGCGUGAGUGAUGAAGGCUUUCGGGUCGUAAAACUCUGUUG